rnacentral:rRNA from 1 species
UACGUAGGGUGCGAGCGUUGUCCGGAAUUAUUGGGCGUAAAGAGCUCGUAGGCGGUGUGUCACGUCGGCCGUGAAAACCUGCAGCUUAACUGUGGGCGUGCGGUCGAUACGGGCAUCACUGGAGUUCGGCAGGGGAGACUGGAAUUCCUGGUGUAGCGGUGAAAUGCGCAGAUAUCAGGAGGAACACCGGUGGCGAAGGCGGGUCUCUGGGCCGAUACUGACGCUGAGGCACGAAAGCGUGGGGAUCGAACAGG